ensembl:ncRNA asRNA:CR44382 antisense RNA:CR44382
CCUGAGUCAUCAGCCGCAGAUGGAUGUGCUGAACUCCCCCAAACGUGUCCGAGAUGCUGUUUUUUGCAGCACACACAACACACGUCGUUGUUUAUUUGCGAAUUGCUUUUAGUCGCCAAUCAUCACUCACCACUCUCCACAACAACACUAAACAAAACAAAAACAAAACAACUGGAAUAUCGCGUGGAAGGGAGGAUGAGAGCCUGGGAGCGUGCAACAGGUCGGGGGUCCGCGUCUGUGCCGAGAUAAGCGAAGUGGAGUCGAGUGGACCAGGAACGCUGCGAGAGAGCCGGGAGAGCAAGAGCCAAUGCAAUGCGAGGCACGUCUGGCGCGCGUGAACUGCGGACCGCGUAUGGCGCGCAACUUCGUCGCUGGAUUCGACUGGAACUGGAAGCUUCGUGCCUCCCCAACACACACGCACUUCUGGGCUCUGUGUGUGUCCGUGGACACAGGAACGGUCAAGAUACUAGGAGCCAGCCC